rnacentral:rRNA from 1 species
UACGUAGGUGGCAAGCGUUGUCCGGAAUUAUUGGGCGUAAAGCGCGCGCAGGUGGUUCCUUAAGUCUGAUGUGAAAGCCCACGGCUCAACCGUGGAGGGUCAUUGGAAACUGGGGAACUUGAGUGCAGAAGAGGAAAGUGGAAUUCCACGUGUAGCGGUGAAAUGCGUAGAGAUGUGGAGGAACACCAGUGGCGAAGGCGCUCUGCUGGACCAUAACUGACACUCAGGGACGAAAGCUAGGGGAGCGAAUGGG